UACAGAGGGGGCAAGCGUUGUUCGGAAUUACUGGGCGUAAAGGGCUCGUAGGUGGCCAACUAAGUCAGGCGUGAAAUCCCUCGGCUUAACCGGGGAACUGCGUCUGAUACUGGAUGGCUUGAGAUUGGGAGAGGGAUGCGGAAUUCCAGGUGUAGCGGUGAAAUGCGUAGAUAUCUGGAGGAACACCGGUGGCGAAGGCGGCAUCCUGGACCAACACUGACGCUGAGGAGCGAAAGCCAGGGGAGCAAACGGG
rnacentral:rRNA from 1 species